rnacentral:rRNA from 1 species
AUUGAACGCUGGCGGCAGGCCUAACACAUGCAAGUCGAACGGUAACAGGAAGAAGCUUGCUUCUUUGCUGGCGAGUGGCGGACGGGUGAGUAAUGUCUGGGAAACUGCCUGAUGGAGGGGGAUAACUACUGGAAACGGUAGCUAAUACCGCAUAACGUCGCAAGACCAAAGAGGGGGACCUUCGGGCCUCUUGCCAUCGGAUGUGCCCAGAUGGGAUUAGCUUGUUGGUGGGGUAACGGCUCACCAAGGCGACGAUCCCUAGCUGGUCUGAGAGGAUGACCAGCCACACUGGAACUGAGACACGGUCCAGACUCCUACGGGAGGCAGCAGUGGGGAAUAUUGCACAAUGGGCGCAAGCCUGAUGCAGCCAUGCCGCGUGUAUGAAGAAGGCCUUCGGGUUGUAAAGUACUUUCAGCGGGGAGGAAGGGAGUAAAGUUAAUACCUUUGCUCAUUGACGUUACCCGCAGAAGAAGCACCGGCUAACUCCGUG